rnacentral:rRNA from 1 species
UACGUAGGGGGCAAGCGUUGUCCGGAUUUACUGGGCGUAAAGAGCGUGUAGGCGGCCACGCAGGUCCGUUGUGAAAACUGGAGGCUCAACCUUCAGACGUCGACGGAAACCGUAUGGCUAGAGUCCGGAAGAGGAGAGUGGAAUUCCUGGUGUAGCGGUGAAAUGCGCAGAUAUCAGGAGGAACACCAAUGGCGAAGGCAGCUCGCUGGGACGUGACUGACGCUGAGACGCGAAAGCGUGGGGAGCAAACAGG